rnacentral:rRNA from 1 species
UACGUAGGGCGCAAGCGUUAUCCGGAAUUAUUGGGCGUAAAGAGCUCGUAGGCGGUUUUGUCGCGUCUGCCGUGAAAGUCCGGGGCUCAACUCCGGAUCUGCGGUGGGUACGGGCAGACUAGAGUGAUGUAGGGGAGACUGGAAUUCCUGGUGUAGCGGUGAAAUGUGCAGAUAUCAGGAGGAACACCGGUGGCGAAGGCGGGUCUCUGGGCCGAUACUGACGCUGAGGAGCGAAAGCGUGGGGAGCGAACAGG